GGGAAGGUGCCAGAGUGGACGAUUGGGGCUGCCUGCUAAGCAGUUACACCCGUAAGGGUGUCGCAGGUUCGAAUCCUGUCCUUCCCG
rnacentral:tRNA from 1 species